rnacentral:tRNA from 1 species
CCCCUGGUGGUCUAGCUGGUAUGAUGUCGGGCUGUAAACCUGAAGGUCGCGGGCUCGAUUCCCGCCCGGGGGA